ACAUUGACAGAGCAGUUAGAAUUAGAGUUCAUUUCAUCAACGUUCACCAUGUGCAACUACACAGAAACAGCAUUUGGUACCCAAACACCUUAUACCCAAUACGUAGCGGAUGGGGUUGGUAAUGCAUAUUAUUGUAUCAUAACCCAUAAUGUUGUAACAUUGCAUGAGCAAAGGUGAGGGAAUCCAACGGGCGAGCCAGUAAGGAUACAACCAACAUUACUUUGAAAUUGUGAAUGCAGAGGAGAAACAUUGAGCCAUAAGAAACCAAGAAAGACUGGUUGAUGGAAUGUGAUUAUUUUUCAACUCUUUGACUUUUAACAUUUUUGUGAAUAAAC